GCAGCAGCCGCGGUAAUACAGAGGGUGCGAGCGUUAAUCGGAUUUACUGGGCGUAAAGCGUGCGUAGGCGGCUUUUUAAGUCGGAUGUGAAAUCCCUGAGCUUAACUUAGGAAUUGCAUUCGAUACUGGGAAGCUAGAGUAUGGGAGAGGAUGGUAGAAUUCCAGGUGUAGCGGUGAAAUGCGUAGAGAUCUGGAGGAAUACCGAUGGCGAAGGCAGCCAUCUGGCCUAAUACUGACGCUGAGGUACGAAAGCAUGGGGAGCAAACAGGAUUAGAUACCCCGGUAGUCCCUGUCUCUUAUAC
rnacentral:rRNA from 1 species